AGCUCCAAUAGCGUAUAUUAAAGUUGUUGCGGUUAAAAAGCUCGUAGUUGGAUUUCUGCCGAGGACGACCGGUCCGCCCUCUGGGUGAGCAUCUGGCUCGGCCUUGACAUCUUCUUGGUGAACGUUGCUGCACUUGACUGUGUGGUGCGGUACCCAGGACUUUUACUUUGAGGAAAUUAGAGUGUUUCAAGCAGGCAUACGCCUUGAAUACAUUAGCAUGGAAUAAUAAGAUAGGACCUUGGUUCUAUUUUGUUGGUUUCUAGAGCUGAGGUAAUGAUUAAUAGGGAUAGUUGGGGGCAUUCGUAUUUAACUGUCAGAGGUGAAAUUUGAUUUGUUAAAGACGGACUACUGCGAAAGCAUUUGCCAAGGAUGUUUUCA
rnacentral:rRNA from 1 species